GUGGGAUGCAGGCCGGCAGAGAAGCUGGGGAGAGGGCGCGGGAAUCCUGUGUGACCAGUUAGCAGUGUACCAGAACUGGGUUCCGUCAUCCUCUGCAGUCGGGAAGUGUUUCCUGACAGUCUUGAUCCAAGACUGCGGAAUGAGGAGUCCAGGCUGGAGGCCGAUUCAGGCCCCCACCCUGGCAUCAGUCCCCUUUCCCCACCAAGGAUGGCUUCUGUCUCUCGAAGUUGGUGGAGUUUGGACUUUUUCUCUUUUUGCUUUGAGGAGGUGCUGUGUGUGAGCACUCGCUGGCCUGCAAAGGGAUCUGUGCAGAGCGCCAUGUGUUAGAGGAUGGGCGAAUGAGAGCUUGGGGAUACCCGAGGUGUGGUCCUUGCCCGCGUGACCGGUUGGAGGUCCAGGUGAGAAAUCAGGGUUGAAAACUUCAUGGAGGAUUCAUCAUUUCUGCCCUGAAUUGGAACCAAUUCUUCACUGACUUUUACUGUAUUAAAAGUAUUGUAAUUAACUAUGGUAUUUGUUUGGGUUAGACCUUUGUUAUGAUAGGUUUUACCAGAGCUUGUAAAAGACCAUGAUCUCCCCUUCCGGUAUAUGUGAGCAUUAAUAUUUUUAGUCCACAGAAUGGACUUUUAAAAGCUAGUAAAGUUGUUUCAUCUUCCUGGUGCCAGAGAAUAUGAGUCACAGUAUUAUACCAGGCAUUUAUAAAUUAUUUUCAUUCAUCCUACAUUAAUGAUUUUUCAAAAGCCGUUUCUUCAUCAGCUUGUCCACCUACUGUCAUGAAUUUUCCUAAAUAAGCAACUGAUGUGUUGUGUUUCUGGCAAAUGCUAUUUCAUACAAGGCAGUAUUGUGUUAGAACAGAAUUUUUGUUCUGAUUAUUGGAUUUGUCUUUUUAAUAAACAAAACUUUAAUCAAUACAGAAAUACUUCAAAAAGU